rnacentral:lncRNA from 13 species
CUUCAAGACAGUUACUUAAUCAAAUCAAUUAAUAGUUACUGAACUUCUAGGUCUUUGGGAUACAAAGAUUCACUCAUUCACCUAGUCAACAAAUAGUUCCUGAGCACCAUUAUGUCCUAAGUACUAAUCUAGGGGCUUAUAGUUUAUCCAUAAAUAACAGUCCAAGAUCCUGCUCUCAUGAAGCUUACAUUCUAGAUAAGGAAACAAACUAUAAUCAAUACACAGAAUAAGAAAGGACAUUUCUCAACUGGCUGAGGGAAGAUCGACAGAGAUGUAGAAGAAACUCGUUGGAGCAUCUCGUGCUCAGGAAGCAAGAAGAUGACUUGCCUGAAGCCAGAAGUUGAAUGGACAAGGGAUUGAUAGGUUGGAAAUGGAGAUUAAGGCAGGAGUGUGGACAUGUACAUGUACAUAUGUUCUAGGUCUGAGAAUUCAGUUCUAGUGAAGCUCUCCACCAUACAGCGAUUCAGAAAUCAAGGCUGUUGGCUGCUUGGACAUCUUUAACGUGCGGCUUCUAGGUAGAGCAUUCUGAGCAUUCCAUCACAGCCAACCUAAGUUGGGAA